GCUUGGGCUCGAAAGCUGGCCCCGAUAAGCAGCGGCAGUAACUCUAACUGUCCUAAGGUAGCAAAAUUCAUUGUUGCAUAAGUAGCGACCUGCACGAAU
rnacentral:ncRNA from 1 species